UCCAAGAGCUAGAGCUCUAGGUCAUGAACAUUUUCAAAAUAAGUCAUCUCAAAAAUAAACAUGCAUAAUUUCCAUUAUAGGUAAUGAUCUCUGUGGCUCAGGGCUGCCAAGCUGAGCCCCAGCUCAACCUCCAGAACUAUUUUGAAGGCCUAAUACAUACAGUGGCAUUACUGGUGCUGAUCCCAGCCAUAUGAGGCCUUUCAUCAUGGAGUUGAAUGCACAAGCCUGGUCCAGGAUUCAGAGACACUGAAAAAGGAUCCAGAGGCAGGGGAGUAGCUGUCGGCCCGGCGGCUGCCUCACAAUGAUGACUUGAACUAGCAGAAAGACCCGAAGAAUGAGUCUGUUCUCCAAGUUAGGCCUUGGGAAGACCCAGAGAAUAUGAUUAAGAGCCCAGGCUCUGAGGACAGAGCCCCCAAGUUCAAAUCCAAGCUGCGCUCCAGAUGCACUAGACAAUCCUGGGUAGACCAGAAUUUGAAGAGUUCAAGUGGGUUCUUGGUCGUCUGUUUAGGCACUUUGCAACACAUGAUCACAGGCUGGAUGUGCUGGUGUGGCUGGCCUUGGCCAUGGCUGUUCCCUUCAC
ensembl:lncRNA